UGGAUUAUCUACCAUAUGUAC
rnacentral:piRNA from 1 species